AAUAAUUAAUUGAAUUAUGAGAUUAAAUGGUAAAGCUACAGUUAUGCAGCCUAAAAUAAUUAUAUUUUUGUGCUUGUUGUGCCAGGGGGUUUUGCUACAUCAACUAUCUUAUAGCCUACUGUAUAAGGGAGUGCUGCUACAUCAAAUGAGGGUUUGGCAUGGGGUAGCAAUCUUUUUUCACUUUAUUAUUUCAAUUAUAUUCCUAUUGUUUGUAAAGCCUCCACUAACAGCGGAAAAAUAAAAUUAUUUUAGGCCGCGUAACUGUAGGAUUACCAUUAAAAACAAUUAAAAUAAAAAAACUCAAUUUAAAUCAUUAUUUUUAUUUGUCUGAUUUAAGUCAUGAUUUAAAUUGAAACAACCUUUAUAUAUUCCAUCUUUCUGAGGCAGAGGGACUUUAUUCUUGGUUUUAUUAUUUUUUAAUUUAAUAUUUCUGGAUAUUUUACAUAUUUAUUGUGUGUACAACAGUUAACAACUUUAAUCUUAUACAUUAACUUUAGUUAUAACUUAAUUAUUAAUGAUUUGAUUUAUAGAUUUUCAAAGCAAUACAAGAUUAAAUUUAGCAGAAGGCUAAACUUCUGCUCUGGAGACAAAAAAAAAAGACAACGAAAAUGACAAAGAGACAAAAAAUUGUGUAUAUCUUGGUGUAGAUGAUUUAUCCUUAAUUUCUUAUAAUAAAACAAAAAAUAUCAUUAAACUUUGGGAUUUAUCUGUAACUUGAAACUCUUUACAGAAGUUCAAUGUUUGCUCUGAGAAGUUAAAUGAACAAAAUUUAUUAAAUGUCAUCAUUGAAGUACAAUUUGGUAAACUACAAAACACAUUAAAUUCAGUUAUAAAAAUUUGAGUAACAAAGGUAUACUAAUUAUUGUAUUGCCUGAGAGAGUGUCAUUGCUAUUAAAAGCAGUGAAGAAUUCAAGUACUCUGGAAGAAAAAAAAAACGUAAGUAAAUGGUCAAUUAUUUGGCACAAAUUGGAGUUAAAGACAAAGGAGAUUGUAUAUUUUAUUUGCUAAGAAUAGUUAUUUAAAAUGGCCUAGUUGUAAAAUUAAACUAUGCAGGGAGAGGACAAAAAAUUGGAAUAGAAAAAAUGUUGAUUGCAUAUGCUGCUAUUGAAACUGUGAAGUCAAAUAAGCAUGGCUUAUGCAGACAUGUGAUAGAGAUAGUGGAAGAAAAAAUAAUAAUCAUGGGCACCAAAUAACAUAAGCUAAACACGAUUCAAUAACAAGUAGCUCAGCCAAUAUCGAAACUACUCUAUAAAUUUUAUAGUGAAUUUUUUAAUUUAAAACUCAAUGUGUCAGUUUUUGGUUUAAGUUUGGUGUUUGCAAUAUGUAUAUUUA